AGAGUUUGAUCCUGGCUCAGGAUGAACGCUAGCGGCAGUAAUACAUGCAAGUCGAGGGGCAGCACGGGUAGCAAUACCUGGUGGCGACCGGCAAACGGGUGCGGAACACGUACAGAACCUUCCUUUAAGCGGGGGAUAGCCUUCGGAAACGGAGAUUAAUACCCCAUAGUAUUGUUGGUUGGCAUCAAUUGACAAUUAAAGAUUUAUCACUUAAAGAUGGCUGUGCGGCUGAUUAGGUAGUUGGUGUAGGUAACGGCUCACCAAGCCUUCGAUCAGUAACUGGUGUGAGAGCACGACCAGUCACACGGGCACUGAGACACGGGCCCGACUCCUACGGGAGGCAGCAGUAAGGAAUAUUGGUCAAUGGACGCAAGUCUGAACCAGCCAUGCCGCGUGAAGGAUGAAGGUCCUCUGGAUUGUAAACUUCUUUUAUCUGGGACGAAACCCGGGAAUUCUUUCCCGAUUGACGGUACCAGAGGAAUAAGCACCGGCUAACUCCGUGCCAGCAGCCGCGGUAAUACGGAGGGUGCAAGCGUUAUCCGGAUUCACUGGGUUUAAAGGGUGCGUAGGUGGGUCUGUAAGUCAGUGGUGAAAUCUCCGUGCUUAACAUGGAAACUGCCAUUGAUACUAUAGGUCUUGAAUUUUCUGGAGGUCAGCGGAAUAUGUCUGUAGCGGUGAAAUGCUUAGAUAUGACAUAGAACACCAAUUGCGAAGGCAGCUGGCUACAGGGAUAUUGACACUGAGGCACGAAAGCGUGGGGAUCAAACAGGAUUAGAUACCCUAGUAGUCC
rnacentral:rRNA from 1 species